UGAUUAUUACGGAAUGCGAAUUUUUCGUUACAGUUUACUCAAUCUAGUACUACACUCUGUGUGUUCACCUCAAACAAUGUGGGUAACACUCUCCUCUUUCCAGCAGUUCUCAACAGAAGACGCUCCAAAGUCUAUGCAAACAACUUGGAGCAGAAGAUGUCGGACAUGGAGGUAGCCCGGUUCGGGCUAAGUCAACGCAAGGCCAAGAAGCUGCUCUACCGGGGGUUCGAGUACGUCAAAGAUCGAGACUUUCCCGACUCGACUAAUUGGCGGUGUGCUUUGUUCCGGUGCCAGAAAUACCGUGUUCGUGCGAUAACCACUGCCAUCGAAAGCGUUACCUACGUAAGGCUGACCAACGACCAACACAAUCAUGAUUUACAAAUGUAUCGCAAGGACUCGCUACUAAUGCCGAGGGUGGGAUAAUGAAUAGGCGGGAGGCCGUUCUGUUAAAUAAGAUUAGUCAAAUUCUGUGAAUCCCUUUAGUACUUACAAUAUCACGCUGCAAUGGACAAAUAUAUUGUUUACUAAUUAUUUGGAUAUUUCAGUAACUACUGGAAUUUAACCUAAGUUCAACAAUAAUUACACAUUGUAUAUUUAUUUGUUGCAGGUUGGAACACGAAGACACUGAAUGCUGCUUGCCACAAAAGGAAGAACAAGUCCAGAUUUGUAGGUAGGUCAAUGUACAGUAAUCACUGUUUCAAAAUUAAGAUCGAAUGAUCAGAUUUUAAAAACUAUUUGACGCAUUGGAAGAAUAUUCUGUCACACACACUUUAACCCAAGUAACUAUUUUUAGUCAAAUAGACUUGAGAGGCUCUAAGAGCAAUCAUAAUAAUAAAAGGGAUGAGGUUUUAUGAUGGUUCUCAAAUCCUCUACAGGACUCAUAAAUCAUUAAAAUGUUACUUGAGACACACUUUUCAUUCAACCAAUUAAAUUAUAUGUGCAAUCCUGCGUAUUUUUCGCCACAUUUUCAAAGGCAACGUAUGACAGUGACGUUCACUUUUACAUGAUACAUGUGGACGUUUCAACUUUCGUUGACAGUAGAACUAAUUUUCCACGUAAGAUGGCUAACAUAACUCUUGAAAGAUGUACCUUUCAAAGUAACUUCGGAAACCGUUUAGUUAGUACAUAAUUUGAUCUGAAGUAAAGCGAAAUUCUGAAGACAUUUAUUAAAAAUUAGGCUAUAUCCAUUGCAGUUCCAUUUAAUGUAAAUUCAAUCCAACUGUUGCCGCGAAUUGGGAAGUGUUUGAGUGAAACUGGCAUCACUGCCAUAUAGAUAGGUGUUAUCUGAAAAAUGGAACAGCCUACAAAGAUCUAGCAGUUUUGUUGGAUAGGUUGCGUCUCUAGUAGGAUCGAUGUAAAACUAUUAUGUAAGAUAAUUAUUGUUAUUUUUAAGUGUAUAUUAUAUCAUUGUUUAAAUAUAUUACAGCAUUGAAGCAGAUGUGAAGUACACACUGCUAUCAAUAUGUGUUUCGUCGAAAUAGGGACAACGUUCCCCAACACCAAUUUUUUGCUUAAUCUAAUCUAAAACCAAUGUGAAUCAAUAAUGAUUUUUCCUUUUUCUUUCUGCAGGACCACAUACAAGAAUAUUAGACCCGUCCUGCCACAUGAUCAGUUACAGUUUCAGUGAAACGGGUAAAGCCAUAGUCACCAUCGAUGGGUACAGGUUCCGAAGAUCCUCAGCACAGGGAUCGAGAAUCUACUGGAAAUGUUCCAGAGUCAAAACCAAAAAGUGCUCAGCCAGAAUUACCACUUCCGUUAAGGCCGCACGGGACGACGUGUAAUUUUUACUAUCUUUUCUCUCUUUCUAACAAUUUGCCUCGCGAUUUUGAAGAAGGAAAUGUCAAUUUCUACUGCACUGACGUAGCUGAAACUUUAGUCGAUUGUUCACCAAAAGUGAGCAAAUGAACGAUCAAAUUUCUAGUCGAAAAUAUGAAGUAGAAGUUGAGAUUUGCAUCUUUUUAACGACAGAGCAAUGGCGGACGAUUCAGCCACCGUCCCGUCCGGCCUUAAUAGUUCGAAAAUUUUCUACAGCAUUCGGCCUCACACUCAUCCACCGGACGUCUAGAAAUAAGUCAGUUGAUGAUUUGGGAAAAUAAAGCACAAUGAUGAAACUCACUGUGAUGGAAUCCGAGCCAUUUUGUGCAUCGAACUGUUCUAAAUGGUCGUUUCAAAUAUAUGUCUCUUGGCUCGUGCAGGGUAGCGACAUGGUAUUUCCGAUUGUAGAUGGCCCACCUAACUAGUGUUGGAUAUGAGAAUGGCGAUGGUCUUACAUGACUUCCAGCGUUGCUGAUAUCUACUGGCGUUAUUUUGUACUCACAUUUUCUUUUCAUUUUUUUCAGGUUUCAAUCCGUGGGCAUUGAAUUUUGUAAACCGUACAAGAGGUUCCACAUUUAUAAAACGGCGAUCGAGAAUAUUGGACCCGUCUUGUCAUACGAUCAGUCAUGGUUUCAGUCAAAUGGGUAAAACCAUUAUCACCAUCGAUGGGUACAGCUUCGGGAGGUCUUUCUCCCAGGGAACGAGAAUCUACUGGAAAUGCACCAAAGUCGUAAUCGAAAAGUGUCCUGCCAGAAUUACCACGUGCGUCAAUAGUUCCAAUAUAAUCCAUGGUGUUCGACCUCAUAAUCAUCCGCCGUACGUUUAGGCAUGAAUCGCUAGAUGAUUUUAGAAAAUAAAGCGCAAUGACCAAGAUGUUUGCAGUGCAAAACGUGUAUUUCGAACAGCUGUCUCCUUUCAUCAAUCAUAUCUAACACACAUAUAUUCAAUGUUCGUUUUCCACAACAGCCGAAACUGCAAGGAAGUACCAGAACCCUCCGGCGGAAUCAGAUAGCGACAGCGAUGCCGGUUUCUAUCGAUCAAUGUCCUUGCCCUCCCCGUUGGAUCUGCGAGUGGUGGUGGGUCGUACGGGACGCCCGACGUUGCUGAUGGGUGGCCACGUGUUUACUCGCAAUAACACUCACAAAGAUAAAACCUACUGGUUGUGCUCGAAGAGUCGUUCGCUCAAGUGCCGCGCCCGGAUAAUUACCCUGGACGGUAGUGGAGGUCUGGUUCUCAAGAAUCAGAUCCAUAACCAUUCGGCGGGUGGAAAUCGCUAGUGCAGAUGUAAAAAUAAAGAAUAAAACACUAGAUUUUUUGUUUUUUUUUUCAUAUCAUUUAUACAUGCCGUACUAGAUUCUUCGAUUUCUCACUAACCACCGCCUAAUUCUCACCCCUUACAGGAAAAAUCGUCGUCAAGGAAAAGUCAACGGAAGAAAAGUUCUUUUUCGUCCGCACCGCCGAUGGUCGCUAUAAAAUUCAUGCAAAUGCCCCUUCAUCAAAAAUCAAGAAGGAAAAAGCACAUCCACAGCCAAAAAUGGUUAAUACUGGAACCAGACUGAUCCGAUCUGGAAUCAUCUUUCCCCUUAACGAAGGAACGGAAGUGGAACAGUUGGAACAACUUGUGAACAAGGAUUCCAUAAUCAGACAGGAAUAUAUUAAUGUUCUGAAGCUUAAGCCAAGGGAUACGCAAAUCGUCCAUUACAUGCACAACGUUUUCACGGACGAUUCACUUAUUGACUACAAUUACAGUAAUGGCCAUGGCAAACGCGCCAUGCGAAUGUACGACAUAUUUUUCAAAUGCUUCAUGGAAGCGUACGAAGCGGAGGAACUUACAGAGUUUGAGCUUGCCUACCAGCUGACGUCGGCGAUCAAGCAAAGUCGAAACCGGUUGCGGCAGCGCAUGUUCCGCGCUAGGAAAAUUGUGAAAGUAAGUUGUGAAAAGAGAAAGCGAACUCCAUAACCAUCCUGCGGGUGGAAAGCGCUAGUGCAGAUGUAAAAAUAAAGAAUGAAACCAGUCCUUUUCUUUUCAUUUAUUAUAUCUACAUACAGUACUAGAUUCUUCGAUUUCUCACUAACCACGCCCUAAUUCUCACCUCUUACAGGAAAAAUAAUUGCCAAGGAAAAGUCAACGGAAGAAAACUUUUAUUUCGUCCGCACCGCCGAUGGUCGCUAUAAAAUUCAUGCAAAUGCCCCUUCAUCAAAAAUCAAGAAGGAAAAAGCACAUCCACAGCCAAAAAUGAUUAAUACUGGAACCAGACUGAUUCGAUCUGGAAUCAUCUUUCCCCUUAACGAAGGAACGGAAGUGGAACAGUUGGAACAACUUGUGAAGAAGGAUUCCAUAAUCAGGCAGGAAUAUAUUGAUGUUCUGAAGCUCAAGCCUAGGGAUACCAAAAUCGUCCAUUACCUGCCCCACGUUUUUGCGGACGAGUCACUUAUUGGCUACAAUUACAAUGGAGUUAACGUUGUUGGCCAAACAAAACGCGCCAUGCGAAUGCACGACAUAUUCUCCAACUGCUUCAUGGAAGCGUACGAAGCGGAAGGACUUACAGACGUCGAGCUUGCCUUCCAGCUGACGUCGGCGAUCAAGCAAAGUCGAAACCGGAUGCGGCAGCGCAUGUUCCGCGCUAGGAAAAUUGUGAAAGCAAGUUGUGAAAAGAGAAAGCGAACUCCAUAACCAUCCUGCGGGUGGAAAGCGCUAGUGCAGAUGUAAAAAUAAAGAAUGAAACCAGACCUUUUCUUUUUAUUUAUCAUAUCUACAUACAGUACUAAAUUCUUCGAUUUCUCACUAACCACGCCCUAAUUCUCACCCCUUACAGGAAAACUCUUCACCAAGGAAAAGUCAGCGGAAGAAAACUUUUAUUUCGUCCGCACCGCCGACGGUCGUUAUAAAAUUCAGGCAAAUGCCCCAUCAUCAAAGAUCAAGAUUAAGAAGGAAAAAGCACAUCCACAGCCGAAAAUGAUUAAUACUGGAACCAGACUGAUUCGAUCUGGAAUCAUCUUUCCCCUUAACGAAGGAAAGUGGAACAGUUGGAACAACUUGUCAAGAAGGAUUCCACAAUCAGGCAGGAAUAUAUUGAUGUUCUGAAGCUCAAGCCUAGGGAUACCAAAAUCGUCAAUUUCGUGCACAACGUUUUCGCGGAUGAAUCACUCAUUGGCUACAAUUACAAUGGAGUUAACGUUGUUGGCCAAACAAAACGUGCCAUGCGAAUGUACGACAUAUUCUCCGACUGCUUCAUGGAAGCGUACGAAGCGGAAGGACUUACAGAUGUCGAGCUUGCCUUCCAGCUGACGUCGGCGAUCAAGCAAAGUCGAAACCGUAUGCGGCAGCGCAUGUUCCGUGCUAGGAAAAUUGUGAAAGCAAGUUGCGAAAAAAGAAAGGGAACUUCAUUUGAAACUUGAAGAGCUUUAGUGUACCCUAUUGACCCAAUUAUUAACAUUUUAGAGACUCUCAGUUUCUUUAUUGUUUUAGUGCUCUGAGUUUUUACGAUUAAUGAAUGGUAACAUGCUUACAUUUUUUUCAUCCUGAAGCAAGUUUAUUUUAUAUUCAAAUAAAUGAAUUGUAAUCACCCUUAAAUUGAUACACUUACUGUAAUGCAUAUUUCACCUUACCACUACCAUACCAUGCCUCAGAAGUACUUUAUUUGGUAGAAGUAAUGUUUUUUUUUUGUUAUCUGAAAAUAUUCAAAUCCACUUGCACACUUCCAAAUUCCAUUGAUCUUUUCAAAUAUCCUUCAAGUAAAACAUAAAAAAAUAAACAAUUAAAACGAAAUAAACUGUUAGAUUGUAUUCUUCAGCUAAACAAACUGCAAAUUUACAACAAAAAAUCUAUUUAUUUCUGGAUACUAACCAUGCCAACUCCUCCCCAUUCCAGAACAAGAGUUAGUGAUGAUAGAAAUCUGCUCCGAUGAUGACCAGAGCAAAGCUACAGUUUCCGCUGGAGGCAAUACUGCAAUAAGAUCACUUCGGUUAGCGGGAUUCACGUUUCCUCUGAAACGUGCAGAAGACAUCGAACGCUUGGAGAAAGCUGUCAGAGCAGAUCCAUUCAUUCGGAAAGAAUACAUUCGCUACGUGUCAUCUCAGGUGGGCGAUCAUCAUAAUAUUUCUACGAACAUCAGGAGGCUUUUCAGCGAUAGAUCUCUGGAGAAUUACACGUAUCAUGGGGUUAGCAAUCCGCAAUAUCCUCGGAAAGCAAUGAAAGACUACGAGAUCUUCACCAACUGUUUGCUAGUUGCUUGGGAGGACGAUGGCAUCACCGCGGAUGAACUCCGAAUGUCGCUUAUUAAGGCUACACAAAAAGCGAAGCAGCAUUUAUCGUCGGCUCGGUACUAUCAACGCUACCGGGAACAACUACUAGAGAAACGGAAAGCGAGUUGGAAGAGCAAAAAGUUUAGUUCCGAGUAGUUGCUAGUCGACUAUGUUUGGUGGUAAAAUUUUGAAAACGGAAGCUUGUGGCAAUAAAAUAUACAAUCGACCGUAAUUUAACAGUAUUCUUGUACUUCAUUGAUCAAAUUGCCGUCAAAACAUUUGUUAUCAAGUAUCUUUUUCAAAUACUAAAAGGUCCAAUGUCCCAUGUCGCUUCGACUAAAUCAACAGGAAUAUAUGUAAAAUUUACAAAACAUUGUAAUUAUAUUAUCAUUCCAUUACCAUGUCUCCAGCAUCUUAAAUUUCUCGUUACACAUAUUCCAUCAUAGUCUGAUUGUAUUACGUAUCAGUUACUAUUAUUUAAUAAUUGAUUAUAAUUUUCAACAUUUUCUACCCGUUAUAGUACCAUCCAAACAUCACAUGGCCGCCAAGCUCGGCUACACCCAGCGUGGGAAGACGUUGCUGCUGUACAACGGAUUCGCCUACGUCAAGGACCGCGAGGCCAUCAAAAGCUGCCACUGGAAGUGCUCGCUGUAUGGGAAGCUGAAGUGCCGUGCCAGAGCCGUCACCAAAACGGCGCUCGACGGCCAGUUGAUGAUGAAAAUCACCAAGUCGACCCAUAACCACGGCCAAGAUGCGUACAAAUUUGAACUUUCCACCGUGAAUAAACCUUGAUUCGGAUGUUAAUCGGUCGCGUUUUUCUUCAAAAGUGUACAAUAACACCGUGAUCACAAAACUAACCCUAUUUUCUGUACAUUCGUAGGUCUUUCUGGUGGGGCCUACUUUGGGAAAACCGCACAGGGCUGUCUUAUGUUGUGGUAUGGAAACUACGGGUAUUUCCGCGAGAAGCAGAAGCACAACACUACCAACUGGAAAUGUGCCUGCUACACCAAAAAUCACUGCAAGGCGCGGGCUGUAACUAAGGAAAUCGGCAGAGAGUACUACUUUCGGAUAACUUGUGAUGAACACACCCAUCCUCCUCCGUAUUCUAGCGACUGUUGGCGGGAAAAACGGAGAAACGAAGUGGCCCCGUUGACGUCGGUGGUGUACUGCAGUGGAAGGUGGUAGUGGCAAAACGGGGUACUAGAUUAUGAGUAUCGGAACAAUGAGUGUGAUAAUUAUCUGUACAUUUUAAUAAACAAUCAAGGACUGAAAGGUACAAAUUUGACCUUUCCACAGUUAAUAAACCUUUAUGAGGAUGUUAAUCGGCCACGUUUUUCUUCAAAAGUGUACCUAGAGUAACAUCGUGAUCACAGAACUAACCCUAUUUUCUGUACAUUCGUAGGUCUUUCUUGUGGGGCCUACUUUGGGAAAACCGCUCAGGGCUGUCUUAUGCUGAGGCAUGGAAAUUACGGGUAUUUCCGCGAGAAGCAGAGGCACAACACCACCAACUGGAAAUGUGCCUGCUACAACAAAUAUCGCUGCAAAGCACGGGCUGUGACGAAGGAAAUCGGUGGAUAGUACUACUUCCGGAUAACCUGUGAUGAACAUACCCAACCUCCGUAUUCAAGUGGCUAUUGGCGGGCAAAACGGAGAAACGAAGUGGCCCCGUUGACGUCGGUGGUGCACUGCAGUGGAAGGUGGUAGUGGAUAAAUGGGAUGUUUCGUAUAUACUAAACAAACGAGGAGCACCUCAGCUGUGCAUCAAUGGGUAUCCCUUCAUCCGUUCGAAAACAACCGAGGAUUACCAGUAUUGGACCUGCAGAGAAUACAAAGCUCUACGCUGCACGGCUCGGGCCGUUUCGAGUCGUCGAGAACGGAGGGGCGAUCCUACCGUCAAGCUACGGGGCGUUCACAAUCAUGUCAUUUUGGAGCGCCGUGAUGCAGAAGAAAAUGCUAAAGAUAUUUCGUUUACCCUUAAUAAACGAGGGGCGACUCAAUUAUGUGUCAAUGGAUACCCCUACAUCCGCUCCAAAACGACCGAGGAAUUCCAGUAUUGGUCCUGCAGCCAGUACAAAGUUUUACACUGUCCGGCGCGAGCCAUUUCCAGCCGCAGAAGGCAGGGCAAUACGCCCACGAUCAAGCUUCGGGGCACCCACAGUCACGGGAUCAUUUUGGAGCGCCGCAAACCAGGAGAAAGUGCCAAAUUGCUGAAACUGAACGCCAUGGAACGCCGGGAGAUGGAAAUGUUGCCAGAAAAGCGGAAACGAUUGUCAUCGGGAGCACCACCUCCACCGGUGGAAUGUGUUUUGGGAGGCGAUAAUCCAUCCUCGUCGAAGUGAAUUCGAAUGGUUGAAUAGGACAGAUCGGUGAAGUACUAGAUUUGUAGUAAUGAGCUAAAUUUUAUUAUGGUGAGAAGGUCUAUUCUCAGUUUCUGCAAUGAAAUGGGGCUAAAAGCGUGGGUAUUAUGAUUCCUUGCCUAAUUUGAUGCUGUUUGAGUAAAACUUUGGGCAACAGUGUUGUUGUUUUCUCCAUUUCUUGCAACAUAAACAACAAAGUUAUCCAAAGUUUUGCUCAAACAGCAUCAAAUUAGGCAAGGAAUCAUAAUACCCAUGUUUUUUGCACCAUUUCUUUGCAGAAACGGAGAAUUGACCUUCUCACCAUACAAAAAUUCUGCUCAAUACUACAAAUCUAGUACUACACCGAACGUACCCCAUUGUUCGUUCAGUGAUUCUAGUACUGCAGUUUGAAAUCGUCGUAUGUUAGUGGUUGUCGAGAUGGAGUUUUGCAUAAUUUUAUUAUUUAAUAAACUCGAAAUCUAAUAACACUUCUUUUUUGCUUAUAUUAUCAAAUUGAUCUAGUACUGCAGUUCUAAUAAUUGAAUGUAAUCGCUAUUUAAAUUUCAGAUAUUUCAUUCGUGAUUAGCAAACGCGGCAAAACUCAAUUAUGCGUCGAUGGUUAUUUGUACACUCGAGCAAAAACAACUGAAGAAUUACAAUUUGGACGUGCAAUCAGGAUAGGGUACUUGGAUGUUCUGCACGCGCAACUACCGGUCAUGGUAAGAAAGGAGAUCGGCCGUCCAUCAAACUGCGUGGAUUUCACAACCACAAAAUUAUCCAGGAGCGUCGGAAAGCCGGUGAAUGUGCCAAGCUGCGAGAGCAGUGCGCCCGCGAACGGAACGAGGAAGUGUUGCCACGGAAAAGGAAACGGCUGCCUCCGCUACCGUUGAAGUGUGUUCUGGUCACGGACAGUAAGGAAAAGACCUCUGUCGUGAAUAAGGAAAGCCAUUGAAAACGUUUAUUUAUUAUGAUAUGUAGUAAAAUAAGAUUAUUCUGUGAAGAGGGGCAAGGUUGCCAGGAACGCAAUCUUAAAAUCAUCUGUUUUACUUUUCCCUCAACACCUCUAUAACUUAAUAUUAGUCUAAUUAAUUCAUGUUACAAUUCAAUGUUUUAAUUCAUUUUCCAUUAUGCGAUUUGGUUGCAGUUUUUGAUUUAUAUUCGUUUCAGUUGCCUCAUAGGAAUUAGUUUUUUUUACAGUGUUCAGAGUUGACAGAAAAAAACUUAACUUUAAACUAUGGAAUUCAACAUUAUGAAAAUACGUAUGUUUUUCACAGAUGCUGUAGUCCAGUACAUCAAUGGCAAAAAGGGAACAUUUCCUCGGUUGAAAAUCGGUGGACAUUAUUUUACGAGGAGGCGUAUCUGCAAGACCAGCACCCGGUGGUAUUGUGUGAAGGAGCCGGCCCUGAAGUGUAACGUAACGAAGUCAACGCCAUGCGAUACUUUUGUACCGAUAAGGGAGUCCAAAAAUUGGAAUACGAGGGAUACCACUUCUGCAAACGAAGGACAAAGAAGCACUGCAUCCGUUGGUAUUGCACUAUGUGGCGUAGGAUGAACUGUACGGCACGGGUUACAACAAUCACUUCUAAUGGAGCAGUAUCGCAGUUUUGUAAUGAUCACAACCAUCUACCGACGGCGGAGUGUCCUAAAAUAAGUCGCAAGCGCAAGCGCAAAGCUUAGCACUUCUAUCACGAUUGUCAUCUGAUUUACUAUAUGCUCGAAACAGGAUCCCUGAAUCCAAAAUUAUAGUUUGAAGAAUCUUGAAUGUGAUAUGUAUUAGCUGUAUUGACGCCAUAUUUUUCUGAAUAUAAGAUCUCCAAUAAUCAUAAAGAAUGAGGUCUAAACACUAUUUUACAACCUUGAUAAAAGUACGAAUAAUGCAAAAAUCUAGUCUGAAAGGAAAAUAUUAAGCAUUAUUAAGUAUUAUGCAAUUGAUUCUUGAUGAUUUUUUCUGUUCGAUGAAACCACCUCAUUCUGUAUUUUGGUUGUUGUUAUAUUUCAGUACUCAAAAAUAAACAAAAAAAUAAAUUUGCCAACUCUGAAAAUAUACUGCCAGCAAAAUGUCAUGGUUUAUCAUUUAAAAAAUUUGCUAGUUUUGUUUCAUAUUUCUCAACACAAAAGUGAAAUUUUUUUGGAGUCGUUAUGAAUGAAUUUUAUUGCUGGAAAAUAAUUUUCAGGGCUGCCAGUUUUUUUUUUAUUUUUGUACAAAAGUGGCAUGAAACAAUAUGUAACUAUCGUAUCUUAUUACUAUAUUUGAUCGUAGAUUGGUUUUAUUUGUCUAAUGAUCCUCACGUUUUCUUUUAGACAUUUCAUUCGUCAUGAGCUGCCGGGGAAAAACUCAACUUAGCGUAAACGGUCAUCUUUACACUUGUGAUAAGAUAACCGACGACGCCAUGUACUGGUGUUGCAAUCAGCGCCGUGUUCUUGGCUGCACAGCUCGUGCUAAUACUGGACGUAAAAAGGUAGGAGAACAGCCAUCCAUCAAACUGCGCGGCUUUCACAAUCAUGGAAUUAUCGCUGAACGACGCCGACCCGGAGAAUAUGCCAGGCUGAAGGAGCAGUAUGACCGCAAACGGAAAGUGUUGCCAGAUGUGGAGCCUCGUCGCCCUGCCCUUUCCAGAUCUAAAAAGAAGCAAAACUGAAUCAAUUUUCUAUGCACUGUUUUGAUGUUCUAGUAUACAAUUGUGACCGUAGCUAUGUUUCAAAAUGCCCAAGUCACUAAUAUAUGUAGACUGACAAAUUUGUGAUUUUCUUUCUUGUGAUGCGCGCCUCGUAUGAAAUAUCAACACAUUCUCUAAGAGGUAUCAUAAACUUUGCAGAUAUUUCAUUCGUCAUAAGCGCACGUGGUAAAACUCAGCUGAACGUUAACGGAUAUCUCUACACGCGUGGCAAACUUCACGGCGACUUUCAGUACUGGUCAUGUAAUCAGUACAGAGUUUUAAGUUGCACAGCUCGUGCUUCGACGGUCCGCUGCAAACAGGGCGAGAAACCAACCAUAAAACUGCGUGGUUUCCACAACCAUCCGAUUAUAGUGGAGCGACGUCGGCCCGGAGAGUGCGCACGGUUGAAAGAGCUGUACGCUCCUGCAGCGAGGCAAGUGUUGCCAGACAGGAAGAAAUGUCAGCAGUCCCCCAAGCAGCAGGUGCCUCUGCCACCGAUCGAGCAAUGCUUUGUUAAGGAAGAGAAAUAACGAACGCGUUGUCGGGUGUGUGUGAAUGGAGGCUGUAAUAGGAUAAGUGUUAUGUUCGAUCUAGGACUGCUUCUGUUGUAGUUUGGUAUUGGGCAUAUCUUAUGAAUAAUUCUCUCUGAAACGCAAAACAUCAUUCAAGGAAGUUAUCUUAACAACACGGUUAGUUAUAAUGUAGCACUAAAAAAAAAACAAGAUUCCACAAAUAAGCUUUGAAAUUCUCCAAUAGGAAGCAAUCAGUGAAGUACUAGAUUGAAAGUAGUGAGCUGG